rnacentral:snoRNA from 1 species
CCUCCUUUUCUUGGCGGGGGCCGGGUGUAUAGUCCCGCUCCCCGUUAUGUACAGAGGCAGAGGGAAAGGGCUCCGGUUCCCUCGGCGUCAUGUCUUCGGUGCCGGCGGCUUCUUGUCCACCGGUUCUAUCCUCAAGCGCCGAGACACCC